rnacentral:rRNA from 1 species
GAAUGGAUAUGCAGGUGAUACAGCUGAGUUAAGAAUGUUUAUUCGAGCGGAAGAAUGGAGCUAGGUCCCCGAUAUAAGCGGCGGACGGGUGAGUAACACGUGGGUAACCUGCCUGUAAGACUGGGAUAACUCCGGGAAACCGGAGCUAAUACCGGAUAGUUCCUUGAACCGCAUGGUUCAAGGAUGAAAGACGGUUUCGGCUGUCACUUACAGAUGGACCCGCGGCGCAUUAGCUAGUUGGUGGGGUAAUGGCUCACCAAGGCGACGAUGCGUAGCCGACCUGAGAGGGUGAUCGGCCACACUGGGACUGAGACACGGCCCAGACUCCUACGGGAGGCAGCAGUAGGGAAUCUUCCGCAAUGGACGAAAGUCUGACGGAGCAACGCCGCGUGAGUGAUGAAGGUUUUCGGAUCGUAAAGCUCUGUUGUUAGGGAAGAACAAGUGCGAGAGUAACUGCUCGCACCUUGACGGUACCUAACCAGAAAGCCACGGCUAACUACGUGCCAGCAGCCGCGGUAAUACGUAGGUGGCAAGCGUUGUCCGGAAUUAUUGGGCGUAAAGGGCUCGCAGGCGGUUUCUUAAGUCUGAUGUGAAAGCCCCCGGCUCAACCGGGGAGGGUCAUUGGAAACUGGGAAACUUGAGUGCAGAAGAGGAGAGUGGAAUUCCACGUGUAGCGGUGAAAUGCGUAGAGAUGUGGAGGAACACCAGUGGCGAAGGCGACUCUCUGGUCUGUAACUGACGCUGAGGAGCGAAAGCGUGGGGAGCGAACAGGAUUAGAUACCCUGGUAGUCCACGCCGUAAACGAUGAGUGCUAAGUGUUAGGGGGUUUCCGCCCCUUAGUGCUGCAGCUAACGCAUUAAGCACUCCGCCUGGGGAGUACGGUCGCAAGACUGAAACUCAAAGGAAUUGACGGGGGCCCGCACAAGCGGUGGAGCAUGUGGUUUAAUUCGAAGCAACGCGAAGAACCUUACCAGGUCUUGACAUCCUCUGACAACCCUAGAGAUAGGGCUUUCCCUUCGGGGACAGAGUGACAGGUGGUGCAUGGUUGUCGUCAGCUCGUGUCGUGAGAUGUUGGGUUAAGUCCCGCAACGAGCGCAACCCUUGAUCUUAGUUGCCAGCAUUCAGUUGGGCACUCUAAGGUGACUGCCGGUGACAAACCGGAGGAAGGUGGGGAUGACGUCAAAUCAUCAUGCCCCUUAUGACCUGGGCUACACACGUGCUACAAUGGACAGAACAAAGGGCUGCAAGACCGCAAGGUUUAGCCAAUCCCAUAAAUCUGUUCUCAGUUCGGAUCGCAGUCUGCAACUCGACUGCGUGAAGCUGGAAUCGCUAGUAAUCGCGGAUCAGCAUGCCGCGGUGAAUACGUUCUCGGGCCUUGUACACACCGCCCGUCACACCACGAGAGUCUCUAUAUUUUAUCUCGGUGCGCUAACCUUGUGACACAGUCCUCCGUGCUGUGGUUGUUUCGGUGCCGAC